ACACCUCGGCAGGCUGGGCUGGGCCGGGUGAGUAUCUCUUCGAAAGGCUCACCCUCCAGCAUGACUAGGAGC
rnacentral:pre_miRNA from 1 species